GGCGCUAUGGCCGAGUGGUUUAAGGCGACAGAUUUGAACUAUUCACUAUCUGUUGGGAUCUCCCGCACAGGUUCGAACCCUGUUGGCGUCG